rnacentral:rRNA from 1 species
GAGAGUUUGAUCCUGGCUCAGAUUGAACGCUGGCGGCAUGCCUUACACAUGCAAGUCGAACGGUAACGGGCCUUCGGGUGCCGACGAGUGGCGAACGGGUGAGUAAUGCAUCGGAACGUACCUUUCAGUGGGGGAUAACGUAGCGAAAGUUACGCUAAUACCGCAUAUUCUGUGAGCAGGAAAGCAGGGGAUCGCAAGACCUUGCGCUGAUUGAGCGGCCGAUGUCAGAUUAGCUAGUUGGUGAGGUAAAGGCUCACCAAGGCGACGAUCUGUAGCGGGUCUGAGAGGAUGAUCCGCCACACUGGAACUGAGACACGGUCCAGACUCCUACGGGAGGCAGCAGUGGGGAAUUUUGGACAAUGGGGGCAACCCUGAUCCAGCCAUUCCGCGUGAGUGAAGAAGGCCUUCGGGUUGUAAAGCUCUUUCAGCAGGAACGAGACGGUGGCCACUAAUACUGGCUACUAAUGACGGUACCUGAAGAAGAAGCACCGGCUAACUACGUG